rnacentral:rRNA from 1 species
GAGACUCUGUGCGCGUGUAUAUCAAUAAGCGGAGGAAAAGAAACUAACAAGGAUUCCCUUAGUAACGGCGAGUGAAGCGGGAAGAGCUCAAAUUUGAGAUCUUAAAGGUUCUACCUUGACGAAUUGUAGUUUAUAGAAGUGUUUUCUGUAGUGGAGUUCGGUAAAAGUUCUUUGGAAUAGGACAUCAUAGAGGGUGAGAAUCCCGUAUUUGGAUCAUUUCCUUCCUAGCCGUGUGAUACACUUUCAAAGAGUCGGAUUGUUUGGGAAUGCAGUCCAAAAUGGGUGGUAAAUUUCAUCUAAAGCUAAAUAUUGGCGAGAGACCGAUAGCGAACAAGUACCGUGAGGGAAAGAUGAAAAGAACUUUGAAAAGAGAGUUAAACAGUACGUGAAAUUGUCAAAAGGGAAGCGUUUGACACCAGUGUUGUUUUUCCGAAAAUCAAUUACGAAUGUUUUAGUUUUUGAGGAGUUAUGACUUCAUCGGCUUGCUUCUCUCUUUAUGAAACUUUCUUAAUGCACUUUUCGGUUAACAAGUCAACAUCAAUUUCUUUUGUUGUAAAAGGGUAUGAGGAAGGUGGCUUUCUUUUCGGAGAAAGUGUUUAUAGCCUUGUAGCCUCUGCAAUCGGAGAGAUUGAGGUCUGCAGCGUAGAUCCUUCGGGGUUAGAUACAGUUUGUGCUAAGUUAUAGCUUUUCAUAGACAACUUGUUGACUAUGUUUAGUCUUGUAGCUUACUCGCUGAUGCUAUUUUACCUACGCUUAGGAUGUUGACGAUCAGCUGAGCGCG